rnacentral:SRP_RNA from 1 species
AUGUACUAGAUGGGGAGCUAGCGGUGCCCUGUAACCUACAAUCCGCUACAGUAGGAUCGAUCGCCCGCCGAGGGUUAACAUAUGGAAUGUCGAUUAUAGUAAGGAGCGUUGAUGGCAAGGUCUCGUGCAACUCAUGUAUUGUGAACCGUGUCAGGAUUGAAACAGCAGCACUAAGCGAUUACGGGGUGUGCCACGAGGAAACUUUGAAGGAGCCACCUGCUAUAAAGCCGAUUCGGUAUGGUCUCACAGAGCGGGUGUACUU